AGAUCAUUGAGGUCAGGCUGAGUGGACCCAGUGUCUCUGACCAGCCAAAUUGUGUUCUUUAUCUCUCUACCUGCAAAUUAUUGAUGAUCCCAGUGAACUUUAGAAUCAGUCAAACAGAGCAGGCUGUAACCAUCCACUUUUGUCUUCUAAUUUCUAGUGCCCACCUGUGACACCCCGACAGAGGAAUGACUGUUCAUCAGAAGGAACUGAAGUGACAUACAGAACAAACCAACUCAGACCUGGCUACAUCCAUCCACUCAGAGAGCCUCUACCGACACCUCCUACUCUGAACCAUGCGCGAGGCACAUUGAAUACAAAGACUUUGAUUCAAGGAGAAUGUCCACAGCAAGUGAAGAAAGAAACAAAGCAAGGCAGGAAGAGCUGCAGCUGA
rnacentral:lncRNA from 1 species